rnacentral:pre_miRNA from 1 species
AAUAAACUAAUUUUUUAUUUUUAAUUUUUGACUUUUCGUUUUAUUCAAAUUUUUUUCGAUUAUUAUUUUUGUUUUAUUAGAUAAUAAAUCAUAAAUAGUAUUUUACGUGUGACUAUUUUUUUUAAUUUUUUAAAAAUUUAAUAAAUAAGACGAAUGGUCAAACAUUAGACACGAAAAUCGGACUGAGG